rfam:Candidatus Roizmanbacteria bacterium RIFCSPHIGHO2_12_FTLL_39_8 rifcsphigho2_12_scaffold_25743, whole genome shotgun sequence.
GGGGAUGAACGGCAUCGACGGUUUGCUAGCACUUUUAAAAAAUGUUAGGGCGCACCUGUGCGUUAAACGGAAAAACUAACAGCAAAUGAAGAUUUAUUUGCUGAUCUCAAAGCGUUCGCUCGAGAACAGUUGGAAGGCGUCAUCGCUGCCCAAUUUGCUCAAAGGCCAGCAGCUUACGCAUUCGUAAGCUAAUUUGAGAUCCUCUUUUUUAAGUUUUCCUUGAUUCAACUUAAUUAAGAGAUAAACCAAUCAAGGCUAGAUUUUAUAGAUUUCUCGAUGAGCUAUAAAAUUGAAACACCCUCAUCGGCUUUCCGAUAAAUGUUGAUUAUUUAAUAGUCGGAAUAGAGUCAAAAAUAAUCUAUCCCUAACUAACAAUUUUUUAAAGGAGCCUAACCGGACCCGGGUUCAACUCCCGGCAUCUCCACCA